ncrna:unclassified sequences gut-2 RNA
AACUCCGCUCUAAUUGGUGAGCGGGAAGGACCGUUGGGGUCAACUUG